rnacentral:rRNA from 1 species
GGAUGAACGCUGGCGGCGUGCUUAACACAUGCAAGUCGAACGGAAAGGCUCCUGCUUGCAGGGGUACUCGAGUGGCGAACGGGUGAGUAACACGUGGGUGAUCUGCCCUGCACUUCGGGAUAAGCCUGGGAAACUGGGUCUAAUACCGGAUAGGACGAUGGUUUGGAUGCCAUUGUGGAAAGUUUUUUCGGUGUGGGAUGAGCUCGCGGCCUAUCAGCUUGUUGGUGGGGUAAUGGCCUACCAAGGCGUCGACGGGUAGCCGGCCUGAGAGGGUGUACGGCCACAUUGGGACUGAGAUACGGCCCAGACUCCUACGGGAGGCAGCAGUGGGGAAUAUUGCACAAUGGGCGCAGGCCUGAUGCAGCGACGCCGCGUGGGGGAUGACGGCCUUCGGGUUGUAAACUCCUUUCGCUAGGGACGAAGCGCAAGUGACGGUACCUGGAGAAGAAGCACCGGCUAACUACGUG